rnacentral:rRNA from 1 species
CGAAAGCAAGGAAACUUACAACAAAGAGUCCCUCCCGACUGUUUACCAAAAACACAGCACUCUGCUAACUCGUAAGAGGAUGUAUAGGGUGUGACGCCUGCCCGGUGCUCGAAGGUUAAUUGAUGGGGUUAGCAUUAGCGAAGCUCUUGAUCGAAGCCCGAGUAAACGGCGGCCGUAACUAUAACGGUCCUAAGGUAGCGAAAUUCCUUGUCGGUUAAAUACCGACCUGCAUGAAUGGCGUAACGAGAUGGGAGCUGUCUCAAAGAGGGAUCCAGUGAAAUUGUAGUGGAGGUGAAAAUUCCUCCUACCCGCGGCAAGACGGAAAGACCCCGUGGACCUUUACUACAGCUUGACACUGCUACUUGGAUAAGAAUGUGCAGGAUAGGUGGGAGGCUUUGAGUAUAUGACGCCAGUUGUAUAUGAGCCAUUGUUGAGAUACCACUCUUUCUUAUUUGGGUAGCUAACCAGCUUGAGUUAUCCUCAAGUGGGACAAUGUCUGGUGGGUAGUUUGACUGGGGCGGUCGCCUCCCAAAUAAUAACGGAGGCUUACAAAGGUUGGCUCAGAACGGUUGGAAAUCGUUCGUAGAGUAUAAAGGUAUAAGCCAGCUUAACUGCAAGACAUACAAGUCAAGCAGAGACGAAAGUCGGUCUUAGUGAUCCGGUGGUUCUGUGUGGAAGGGCCAUCGCUCAAAGGAUAAAAGGUACCCCGGGGAUAACAGGCUGAUCUCCCCCAAGAGCUCACAUCGACGGGGAGGUUUGGCACCUCGAUGUCGGCUCAUCGCAUCCUGGGGCUGGAGCAGGUCCCAAGGGUAUGGCUGUUCGCCAUUUAAAGCGGUACGCGAGCUGGGUUCAGAACGUCGUGAGACAGUUCGGUCCCUAUCUGCCGUGGGCGUAAGAAGAUUGAAGAGAUUUGACCCUAGUACGAGAGGACCGGGUUGAACAAACCACUGGUGUAGCUGUUGUUCUGCCAAGAGCAUCGCAGCGUAGCUAAGUUUGGAAAGGAUAAACGCUGAAAGCAUCUAAGCGUGAAGCCAACUCUAAGAUGAAUCUUCUCUAAGCUCUCUAGAAGACUACUAGUUUGAUAGGCUGGGUGUGUAAUGGAUGAAAGUCCUUUAGCUGACCAGUACUAAUAGAGCGUUUGGCUUAUCUUUAAUAAAGCAU